UACAGAGGUCCCAAGCGUUGUUCGGAUUCAUUGGGCGUAAAGGGUGCGUAGGCGGCGCGGUAAGUCGGGUGUGAAAUCUCGGGGCUUAACUCCGAAACUGCAUUCGAUACUGCCGUGCUUGAGGACUGGAGAGGAGACUGGAAUUUACGGUGUAGCGGUGAAAUGCGUAGAUAUCGUAAGGAACACCUGAGGCGAAGGCGGGCUACUGGGCCGAUACUGACGCUGAUGCGCGAAAGCCAGGGGAGCGAACGGG
rnacentral:rRNA from 1 species